CCUACGGGUGGCUGCAGUAGGGAAUAUUGCUCAAUGGGGGAAACCCUGAAGCAGCAACGCCGCGUGGAGGAUGAAGGUUUUCGGAUUGUACACUCCUUUUGUUAGAGAAGAUAAUGACGGUAUCUAACGAAUAAGUACGGGCGAAAGCCGGGCCCGCAGCCGAGGUAAUACGAAGGGUGCAAGCGUUAAUAGGAAUCACUGGGCGUAAAGAGCGCGUAGGCGGGAUAGCAAGUCAGAUGUGAAAUCCUAUGGCUUAACCAUAGAACUGCAUUUGAAACUGUUAUUCUAGAGUAUGGGAGAGGUAGGUGGAAGUCCAGGUGUAGGAGUGAAAUCCGUAGAUAUCUGGAGGAACAUCAGUGGCGAAGGCGACUAUCUGGCACAUAACUGACUCUCAUGCACGAAAGCGUGGGUAGCAAACAGGAUUAGAUACCCUUGUAGUC
rnacentral:rRNA from 1 species